rnacentral:lncRNA from 13 species
GUUCAAUAAUGUUCAAUAAAGGUUUGGUCAGGUGUACUUUAGUGUUCGUGGCUGCCUGUGGACAAAGCCUGAUGCCUCAGCACUUCUCAUGUUAAUCACACUCAACAUGUUUAGCUCUUUUCACAUUUCUAUCGGACGCAGAGAAGCGCGUGUGUGAUGUAUGGGCUUGUCUACAGCAUACGCAGGUAUUGCAAGGUGUGUGUUAAACAGAAACACCUAACACACGUUAGCAUGGACAUCUAUACCUGUCCUCCAUAUUGCUUUAAUACCUGUACAGGUGAGGCAGGAGUCACUACUUAUAUUAGGCGUUUAUAUACACACACACACACACACACACAAGACACACACGUUUUAAAUCAAAAUGACGAUCCUGAAUAGGAGGUUUGACUCAACAUGGUUACUAGUUUUAACUGGCUGUUAGGGUGUUACUGGUUACCACAGUGUUUCAGAGCUAGGUGUGACAUAGCAUUGUGUUGUGCCUUGAAGUACAUUCAUACUGCAGCACCUUUCUGUUCAGUGUGCAAUGCAUGCUAAGCUAUGAAGAGUCAAAAUCUCCUCUUACUUGUUUCAUUGUUCUGAUAUAAAUCUGUGGUGUCUUCAAUUCUCUCUGAAAUACAUAACAAUUGACACCCAUCACAGGGGGUUUGCUUCUAUGAAUGGGAAAAAUAACUUUGACUGAUUAAAAACAUUUCAAACUGAGAAAAUGUAUUAAUAGAUUGCUCACCUGAGACGAUAACAUUGAUAGAAUGACCCACAGCCGUGUGUAAUUCACACCUGUAUAGACCAGCAUCACCUCUGGAUAUGCUUUUGAAAGUCAGAAAUGAGAUCCAUGUAGUGUUUGUCAAAUUUGUCAACUGUGUUUGAAUGAGAGUUGUUGUGUUGACAGUUAGGCAUAUGUUUGAUUCAUCAAACUUACACCAUGAUGGUGUUGGUGAGUUAGAACAGAAAGCAACAGAACAGUUCAUCUUCAGUUUUUUCCCAGGUGAAGUUCUCCAUACUGUGUUCCGUGCCACUCUAAUCUCUGGGAAACAAUCAGAAUCUUGACCUGCAAAGAAUUAAACUGAAGUCAGUCGCUGCCUGACCAAUAGGUCCCCAUAAGAUCACCCAUCACCUCUAUAUCAAAUCAUACCGUCACAG